rnacentral:rRNA from 1 species
UACGAAGGGGGCUAGCGUUGCUCGGAAUCACUGGGCGUAAAGGGUGCGUAGGCAGGUCUUUAAGUCAGGGGUGAAAUCCUGGAGCUCAACUCCAGAACUGCCUUUGAUACUGAGGAGCUUGAGUUCGGGAGAGGUGAGUGGAACUGCGAGUGUAGAGGUGAAAUUCGUAGAUAUUCGCAAGAACACCAGUGGCGAAGGCGGCUCACUGGCCCGAUACUGACGCUGAGGUGCGAAAGCGUGGGGAGCAAACAGG